GCGUGCGCGUAAGAUUCAUAGGAUAGAGCUCGUCUGGUUCGCCCGCCCCCAAAUCGGGAAACGAGGGGGAGAACAAGAUAUCCGAUAAUUGAAGAGGCCAAUUUCUUCCAAAACCCUAGAAUUCGUCUUCCCCAGUCCUAAAUUUGAGAUCAAAUAUUCAUGACACUCGGUCCAUUUCGUUCUCGGAUCAAGUUCCUCUCUCGCAGUCGGCCGCGGUGAACCCUAGCCCGCCACUCGCUCGCUCUUGGGCGCGGUCUUGGAAGACGUUCUGGUGUCAGGCCAAGCAAGUGAUUGAAGAAUCUAUUUAAUCAGCAUGGUUUUUUCCUAUUAGUCACCGUUUUGAUGCUUAAAGAGUAUAUCUGUGCAAGUUAUGCAGAGUUAUAUGUCCUUGAAGUUAUAUAUUGUGUUGUGUGGGGUUAUUUUUGUAAACAAUUACUAUCUACUCUAUUAUCAAAGGUCUUGUUGCUGGGGUAGAUCAUUCA